UCUGGGAAAUGUAUUGUAACCUUGCCUUACUUUAACGGGAAAGAUCCAGCAAUGAAACUACAUUACCCAGCAAUCUUUGCGACUAAUCUGAACGAAGCACCAAAACAUUGCGUCGCCGGAGCAACGAAACCGCGUCGAUAACAUGGAGCCAUUGAAGAAAUCAGAUGGAGAAACGAAGACUGGUCCGAUUUCUUUCGGCUUUAGCGAAAAGAUAAAUAAAGUCAAAGCCGAGAAAUCAGAAGAGCGAUAUUUUUUAAAUGGAGUCGAAGGAAAGGAACUAAAAAGAGUCUCAGAAGCAGCAGGAACAAUGGAAAAAUGGCCCGAAGUGCGACCCGAACCUGGCCAUCCCGCUACUCAUGCAGAACCAGGUUCCGCAGGGCUUCGAGGACGGACAUCACCUCAAAGUGGACCUCCGGCCCGAAUCAGUGAGUCAGGACUGACAGGAGAAUGCAUAAGCGGUUAAACACAGGGGAAUGGAACAGAACAUCAUGAUGGUCCAACUCUAUUAUUUAGCCACAUUUCAUUCAUGCAAAAACACACUGGAGAACUGGUCCGUGAAUGACUGGAAGAAAGUUUUGUGGAGUCCAAACGUAAAAACUCUAACAGAGGAACCUGUGUAAGACGGAGAACAGGAGAGAAGAUUCCUCAGAAGCUGAUUAUGAGCAGGUUCCAGUCGAGGCAUAUGGACUCGCCAUGCUGAAAGGAAUGGGCUGGAAGCAGGGAGAAGGCAUCGGACGCACGUUCAAACAAGAUAUUAAACUUAUAGAACACCAGCUAAGACCCAAACGCCUGGGUCUGGGAGCUGAUCACCCUGCCAUCAAAAACCUGGAACCUUCAAUGAUAUCUAAGUGUUUCAGCAGAUGAUUACAUGCGAAUCUAAUUGCAGACGAUCCUGAGCAAACUCACAGAUGGAGAAUUUUCAGUGGAUUUCUGCCAAGAGUAAACUGCAGUCCACUAUCCCACCAUCUUCCCCUCUCUCUCCCCAUUGUACCUUUGUUGUACCGCUCCUCCUUGAAUAUGUAUGAAGGAGUGAGCAUGCACCCUGCAUACAAUCAGACAAUUAAACAGAAAGGCACAACACAUGAACUCUGGACUUGAAACUGAAUCUCACCAACAAAAAUAACAGACUUUUUAGAAUUAAAGGUAUCGGGUGAUAGUAAAAAAUGAGCAGAUUGGAGGUGUUUGUAAAUUCUGAACGUCUUUGUAGUUUUAUCUUUUAAUAUAUGACCUCAUAGUAGGUGUCCAAAUCCUGUACUCCUUUCCGUGUCAUUCCCGUGCUCUCCGUGUGUAUCGCUCUCUCUGUCAAACCAAAUGAAUGAUUAAUAACUAUAGUGUAACCUUGGCUGCAUCCAGAGUCUACAGCAAUGCAUAGAAAAACCAGGAUCACAGCAUUCAUCACUUUAAUCACUGUAAGGGCAAGACGGCCACACCCAGACGCACACACACAAUAUAAUACCUGGUAGAAAAACACAGACAGGACGCAUCCCCUUGAGAUACAUCACCAGUGAUUACAGCAGCGCUUAUGCAUUACACACAGACACACCACAGAUACACACCAAAGUGAAAUGAAAACAAAUGUUUACAAACUCUUGUGCACUGUGGCAUGACAGUAGGAUUUGUCAAGUGCUAACACCUCACUCUAUUGUCAAACUCCCAUCAUUUUUUCUUCUGUUUUCAUUUUACAUUCCGUGUGCCAGCUAGAGGGCCGUUAACCGGGGAUAAGCUACAGCACAGGGGAGGGGUGGAGGGGUGCAGACGAUACGGCUUACACACACACACAUGCCUGCGGACACACACAGACUUACAUAUAUAUCAUUCAUGCAGCCAAGCAGCUAUAAGGUUAAGGGCUUUGCUCAGGAGCAGCAGCUUGGUGUAGCAGGGAUUUGAACUCAUGACCUUCAGAUCCAAAGUCCACUACCUUAACCAAUAAACUGCCACCUUCUAACCAGGCUGCUACAGGAACCAGAUUGCAGUUGUGAACAGCAAAGUAAAUUUUCUGUAUAGAUGUUUGUUCAGGUUGUUAUUAUUGAUAGUCAUUCUGUAUGGUUUAAAGUUGUUGAUAUUGUACACUCUAUAAACUUUUUGAUAAGUGAAUGUAAAAUUGUGUUAUAAAAUGUUGUAUUCUUUAAAAAUAAACAUUUCUGAAUAAUGAAUAUUUUA